rnacentral:rRNA from 1 species
UUCGAUUAUGGCUCAGAUUGAACGCUGGCGGGAUGGCGCUUUACACGCCAGUCGAACGGCAGCACGGACUUCGUCCUGGUGGCGAGUGGCGAACGGGUGAGUAAUGUAUCGGAACGUGCCUAGUAGCGGGGGAUAACUACGCGAAAGCGCACUUCUUCCUAUACGCCCUUCGGGGGAAAGCGGGGACCUUCGGAGCCUCGCACUAUUAAACAGCCGAUAUCGGAUUGGCUAGUUGGUGGGGUAACGGCUCGCAAGGCGACGAUCCGUAGCUGGUUUGAGAGGACGACCAGCCACGCAGGACUGAGACACGGCCCAGACUCUGCGGGGAGAGCGGCAGUGGGGAAUUUUGGACAAUGGGGGAAACCUGAUCCAGCCAUCCGCGUGUGCGAUGAAGGCCUUCCGGGUUGUAAAACUUUGGCAGGAAAGAAACGGCACGGGAUAAUACCCCGUGCAACUGACGGCUUACCUGCAGAAUAGCUUGUCCCAUUAACUACGUGCCAGCAGCCAUGACCAGGCUACGUAGGGUGCAAGCGUUAAUCGGAAUUACUUCCAGGCGCAAAGCGUGCGCAGGCGGUUCGGAAAGAAGAUGUGAAAUCCCAGAGCUUAACUUUGGAACUGCAUUUUUAACUACCGAGCUAGGUAUGUCGAGGUGGAAACUCCGCGUGUAGCAGUGAAAUGCGUAGAUAUGCGGAGGAACACCGAUGGCGGAAAGCAGCCUCCUGGGAUAACACUGACGCUCAUGCACGAAAGCGUGGGGAGCAAAACAGGAUUGAUACCCUGGUAGUCCACGCCCUAAACGAUCAUCAACUAGCUGUUAGGGCCUUCGGGCCUUGGUAAGCGCAGCAGCGCGUGAAGUUGACCAUACGAUGCAGUCGCAAGAUUAAAACUCAAAGGAAUUGACGGGGACCCGCACAAACGGUGGAUGAUGUGGAUUAAUUCGAUUACAGCGCGAAAAACCUUACCUACCCUUGACAUGUCUGGAAUCCCGAAGAGAUUUGGGAGUGCUCGCAAGAGAACCGGAACACAGGUGCUGCAUGGCUGUCGUCAGCUCGUGUCGUGAGAUGUUGGGUUAAGUCCGCAACGAGCGCAACCCUUGUCAUUAGUUGCUACGAAAGGGCACUCUAAUGAGACUGCCGGUGACAAACCGGAGGAAGGUGGGGAUGACGUCAAGUCCUCAUGGCCCAUAUGGGUAGAGAACUACACGUCAUACAAUGGUCGGGACAGAGGGUCGCCAACCGCGAGGAGAAGGCCAAUCCAAGCCAGUCAAUAGUCGGAUCACCGGUCUGCAACUCGACUGCGUGAAGUCGGAGAUCCUUAGUAAUCGCGGAUCAACAUGUCGCGGUGAAUACGUUCGGGUCUUGUACACACCGCCCGUCACACCAUGGGGUAGGUUUUACCAGAAGUAGUUAGCCUAACCGUAAGGAGGGCGAUUACCACGGUAGGAUUCAUGACUGGAGUGAAGUCGGCAACAAGGUAG